rnacentral:rRNA from 1 species
AUUGAACGCUGGCGGAAUGCUUUACACAUGCAAGUCGAACGGCAGCACGGGUGCUUGCACCUGGUGGCGAGUGGCGAACGGGUGAGUAAUAUAUCGGAACGUACCCAGUAAUGGGGGAUAACUAACCGAAAGGUUAGCUAAUACCGCAUACGCCCUGAGGGGGAAAGCGGGGGAUCGAAAGACCUCGCGUUAUUGGAGCGGCCGAUAUCUGAUUAGCUAGUUGGUGGGGUAAAGGCCCACCAAGGCGACGAUCAGUAGCUGGUCCGAGAGGAUAGACAGCCAAACUGGAACUGGAACGCGGUCCAGACGCCUACGGGAGGCAUCAGUGGGGAAUUUUCAACAUUGGGGGAAGGCCUGAUCCGGCCAUCCCGCGUGAGUGAAGAAGGCCUUCGGGUUGUAAAGCUCUUUCGGCAGGGAAGAAACGGUCAAGGUUAAUACCUUGGGCUAAUGACGGUACCUGAAGAAGAAGCACCGGCUAACUACGUGCCAGCAGCCGCCGUAA